rnacentral:rRNA from 1 species
UACUUGUACCGACUGGAUGAGCAGCGAACGGGUGAGUAACGCGUGGGGAAUCUGCCUUUGAGCGGGGGACAACAUUUGGAAACGAAUGCUAAUACCGCAUAAAAACUUUAAACACAAGUUUUAAGUUUGAAAGAUGCAAUUGCAUCACUCAAAGAUGAUCCCGCGUUGUAUUAGCUAGUUGGUGAGGUAAAGGCUCACCAAGGCGAUGAUACAUAGCCGACCUGAGAGGGUGAUCGGCCACAUUGGGACUGAGACACGGCCCAAACUCCUACGGGAGGCAGCAGUAGGGAAUCUUCGGCAAUGGACGAAAGUCUGACCGAGCAACGCCGCGUGAGUGAAGAAGGUUUUCGGAUCGUAAAACUCUGUUGGUAGAGAAGAACGUUGGUGAGAGUGGAAAGCUCAUCAAGUGACGGUAACUACCCAGAAAGGGACGGCUAACUACGUGCCAGCAGCCGCGGUAAUACGUAGGUCCCGAGCGUUGUCCGGAUUUAUUGGGCGUAAAGCGAGCGCAGGUGGUUUAUUAAGUCUGGUGUAAAAGGCAGUGGCUCAACCAUUGUAUGCAUUGGAAACUGGUAGACUUGAGUGCAGGAGAGGAGAGUGGAAUUCCAUGGG